rnacentral:tRNA from 1 species
UCAUCAAGAUCAAGAUAUGAUAUCAUAAAUCUCCAAAACUUACAUUUUAAUAAACUACUUGAUG